rnacentral:rRNA from 1 species
CCUACGGGUGGCAGCAGUGGGGAAUAUUGGACAAUGGGGGAAACCCUGAUCCAGCGACGCCGCGUGAGUGAAGAAGUAUUUCGGUACGUAAAGCUCUAUCAGCAGGAAAGAAAAUGACGGUACCUGACUAAGAAUCCCCGGCUCACUACGUUCCAGCAGCCGCAGUACGACGGAGGGGGCCAGCGUUAUCCGGAUUUACUGGGUGUCAAGGGAGCGUAGGUGGCGGCGUAAGUCUGUAGUGAAAUGGCGGGGCCCAACCCCGGAACUGCUGUGGAAACUGGGAAGCUGGAGUGCAGGUGAGGUAGGCGGAAUGCGUGGUGUAGCGGUGGAAUGCGUAGAUAUCAGGAGGAACACCGGCGGCGAAGGCGGCUUACUGGACUGUAACUGACGUUGAGGCUCGAAGGCGUGGGGAGCAAACAGGAUUAGAUACCCUAGUAGUC